rnacentral:rRNA from 1 species
CAGGAGGGGAAAGCCAGACUACAAUGCAGUCGAGCGCGAAAGUUCUUCGGAACGAGUAGAGCGGCGGACGGGUGAGUAACGCGUGGGAAAUUGCCCAGUAGUGGGGGACAACAUUCGGAAACGGAUGCUAAUACCGCAUACGCCCUACGGGGGAAAGCAGGGGAUCUUCGGACCUUGCGCUAUUGGAUAUGCCCGCGUCGGAUUAGCUAGUUGGUGAGGUAAUGGCUCACCAAGGCAACGAUCCGUAGCUGGUCUGAGAGGAUGAUCAGCCACACUGGGACUGAGACACGGCCCAGACUCCUACGGGAGGCAGCGGUGGGGAGUAUUGGACAAUGGGCGGAAGCCUGAUCCAGCCAUGCCGCGGGUGGGAAGAAGGCCCUAGGGUUGUAAAGCACUUUCAGUAGGGAGGAAGGCCUUAAAGUUAAUACCUUUGAGGAUUGACGUUACCUACAGAAGAAGCACCGGCUAACUCCGUGCCAGCAGCCGCGGGAAUACGGAGGGUGCGAGCGUUAAUCGGAAUUACUGGGCGUAAAGCGCGCGUAAGCGGUUAGUUAAGCUGGAUGUGAAAGCCCCGGGCUCAACCUGGGAACUGCGUUCAGAACUGGCUGACUAGAGUACGAGAGAGGGUAGUGGAAUUUCC